rnacentral:rRNA from 1 species
AACGCUGGCUGUGUGCCUAAUACAUGCAAGUCGAGCGAAGUACUUUUGUACUUAGCGGCGAAUGGGUGAGUAACACGUACUCAACGUACCCUUCAGUUUGGAAUAGCAGUUGGAAACAACUGAUAAUACCAAAUACUUAUUUUGGYCGCAUGACCGAAAUAUAAAAGGUGCCUUAAAGCAUCGCUGGAGGAGCGGGGUGCGCAACAUUAGCUAGUUGGUGAGGUAACGGCCCACCAAGGCGAUGAUGUUUAGCGGGGUUGAGAGACUGAACCGCCACACUGGGACUGAGAUACGGCCCAGACUCCUACGGGAGGCAGCAGUAGGGAAUAUUCCACAAUGGACGAAAGUCUGAUGGAGCGACACAGCGUGCAGGAUGAAGGCCUCAUGGGUUGUAAACUGCUGUGGUAAGGGAAUAAAAAACAGUGUAGGAAAUGCCACUGUAUUGAAUGUACCUUAUUAGAAAGCAACGGCUAACUAUGUGCCAGCAGCCGCGGUAAUACAUAGGUUGCAAGCGUUAUCCGGAAUUAUUGGGCGUAAAGCGUCUGUAGGUUGUUUAUUAAGUCUGGCGUUAAAUUUUGGGGCUCAACUCCAAACCGCGUUGGAUACUGGUAAACUAGAGUUAUGUAGAGGUUAGCGGAAUUCCUUGUGAAGCGGUGAAAUGCGUAGAUAUAAGGAAGAACACCAACAUGGCGAAGGCAGCUAACUGGACAUACACUGACACUGAGAGACGAAAGCGUGGGGAGCAAACAGGAUUAGAUACCCUGGUAGUCCACGCCCUAAACGAUGAUCAUUAGCUGAUGGGGAACUCAUCGGCGCAGCUAACGCAUUAAAUGAUCCGCCUGAGUAGUACGUUCGCAAGAAUAAAACUUAAAGGAAUUGACGGGGACCCGCACAAGCGGUGGAGCAUGUGGUUUAAUUUGAAGAUACGCGUAGAACCUUACCCACUCUUGACAUCUUCCGCAAAGCUAUAGAGAUAUAGUGGAGGUUAACGGAAUGACAGAUGGUGCAUGGUUGUCGUCAGCUCGUGUCGUGAGAUGUUCGGUUAAGUCCUGCAACGAGCGCAACCCCUGUUCUUAGUUACUAACAUUUAGUUGAGCACUCUAAGAAGACUGCCCGAGUAAUCGGGAGGAAGGUGGGGAUGACGUCAAAUCAUCAUGCCUCUUACGAGUGGGGCAACACACGUGCUACAAUGGCCGGUACAAAGUGAAGCAACCUGGUGACAGUGAGCAAACCACAAAAAACCGGUCUCAGUUCGGAUUGGAGUCUGCAACUCGACUCCAUGAAGUCGGAAUCGCUAGUAAUCGUAGAUCAGCUACGCUACGGUGAAUACGUUCUCGGGUCUUGUACACACCGCCCGUCAAACCAUGGGAGCUGGUAAUGCCCGAAGUCGGUUUAUUAACAAACUGCCUAAGGCAGGACUGGUGACUGGGGUUAAGUCGUAACAAGGUAUCCCUACGAGAACGUGGGGAUGGAUUACCUCCUUUCU